UGACCGCUGGCGGCAGGCCUAACACAUGCACGUCGAACGGUAACAGGCAGAAGCUUGCUUCUUUGCUGACGAGUGGCGGACGGGUGAGUAAUGUCUGGGAAACUGCCUGAUGGAGGGGGAUAACUACUGGAAACGGUAGCUAAUACCGCAUAACGUCGCAAGACCAAAAAGGGGGACCUUCGGGCCUCUUGCCAUCGGAUGUGCCCAGAUGGGAUUAGCUAGUAGGUGGGGUAACGGCUCACCUAGGCGACGAUCCCUAGCUGGUCUGAGAGGAUGACCAGCCACACUGGAACUGAGACACGGUCCAGACUCCUACGGGAGGCAGCAGUGGGGAAUAUUGCACAAUGGGCGCAAGCCUGAUGCAGCCAUGCCGCGUGUAUGAAGAAGGCCUUCGGGUUGUAAAGUACUUUCAGCGGGGAGGAAGGGAGUAAAGUUAAUACCUUUGCUCAUUGACGUUACCCGCAGAAGAAGCACCGGCUAACUCCGUG
rnacentral:rRNA from 1 species